rnacentral:rRNA from 1 species
CUAACAAGGAUUCCCCUAGUAACUGCGAGUGAAGCGGGAAAAGCUCAAAUUUAAAAUCUGUCGGUCUUUGGCUGUCCGAGUUGUAAUCUAGAGAAGUGUUAUCUGCGCUGGACCGUGUACAAGUCUCCUGGAAUGGAGCGUCAUAGAGGGUGAGAAUCCCGUCUCUGACACGGACUGCCAGGGCUUUGUGAUGCGCUCUCAAAGAGUCGAGUUGUUUGGGAAUGCAGCUCAAAAUGGGUGGUAAAUUCCAUCUAAAGCUAAAUAUUGGCGAGAGACCGAUAGCGAACAAGUACCGUGAGGGAAAGAUGAAAAGAACUUUGGAAAGAGAGUUAAACAGUACGUGAAAUUGCUGAAAGGGAAACGCUUGAAGUCAGUCGCGUUGUCCAGGGAUCAACCUUGCUGUUGCUUGGUGUACUUUCUGGUUAACGGGUCAGCAUCAAUUUUGAUCAUUGGAAAAAGGUUAGGGGAAUGUGGCAUCUUUGGAUGUGUUAUAGCCCUUGGUUGCAUACAAUGGUUGGGAUUGAGGAACUCAGCACGCCGCAAGGCCGG